rnacentral:rRNA from 1 species
UACAGAGGGUGCAAGCGUUGUCCGGAAUUAUUGGGCGUAAAGAGCUCGUAGGCGGUUUGUUGCGUCGGCUGUGAAAUCCCGAGGCUCAACCUCGGGUCUGCAGUCGAUACGAGCAAACUAGAGUGUUGCAGGGGAGACUGGAAUUCCUGGUGUAGCGGUGAAAUGCGCAGAUAUCAGGAGGAACACCGGUGGCGAAGGCGGGUCUCUGGGCAACAACUGACGCUGGAGGAGCGAAAGCGUGGGGAGCGAACAGG